AGAGCGAACGCUGGCGGCAGGCCUAAUACAUGCAAGUCGAACGCACCUUCGGGUGAGUGGCGGACGGGUGAGUAACACGUGGGAACGUGCCCUUUGGUUCGGAAUAAUCCGGGGAAACCUGGCCUAAUACCGAAUGUGCCCUUCGGGGGAAAGAUUUAUCGCCAUUGGAGCGGCCCGCGUCUGAUUAGCUAGUUGGUGUGGUAAAGGCCCACCAAGGCUACGAUCAGUAGCUGGUCUGAGAGGAUGAUCAGCCACACUGGGACUGAGACACGGCCCAGACUCCUACGGGAGGCAGCAGUAGGGAAUCUUGCGCAAUGGGCGAAAGCCUGACGCAGCCAUGCCGCGUGAAUGAUGAAGGUCUUAGGAUUGUAAAAAUUCUUUCAGCGGGGAAGAUAAUGACGGUACCCGCAGAAGAAGCUCCGGCUAACUUCGCGCCAGCAGCCGC
rnacentral:rRNA from 1 species